GAGAACAAGUGAAAAAAUAUCCCUCAGGAGUGUCUCAUCAAUGACAGAUGAAGAGAGGCUUAAUAUGAGAAUUAAGAAGUUUGGUAUAAUUACAAAUGAAGAAUUCAGAAAGUCACCAGGAACUUCUUGCAUUGGAAUCAAUAUGUCAGCUGAAAAAGAAAAUACUGAUACGGAAAAGAAAAGAAAGCGACUGGAACGUUUUGGACUCCCUUGAUACACUCUCUUAACUUUUCCUCCCUAAAGUUUGUAUAAUAAAAGCAUAUAUAGUGGUCAAGUGAAAAUA